AAUAGAUACCCCCGGUAGUCCACGCCGUAAACGAUGAGUGCUAAGUGUUAGGGGGGUUUCCGCCCCUUAGUGCUGCAGCUAACGCAUUAAGCACUCCGCCUGGGGAGUACGGUCGCAAGACUGAAACUCAAAGGAAUUGACGGGGGGCCCGCACAAGCGGUGGAGCAUGUGGUUUAAUUCGAAGCAACGCGAAGAACCUUACCAGGUCUUGACAUCCCAUUGGCCACUAUGGAGACAUAGUUUUCCCUUCGGGGACAACGGUGACAGGUGGUGCAUGGUUGUCGUCAGCUCGUGUCGUGAGAUGUUGGGUUAAGUCCCGCAACGAGCGCAACCCUUGUUCUUAGUUGCCAUCAUUUAGUUGGGCACUCUAAGGAGACUGCCGGUGACAAACCGGAGGAAGGUGGGGAUGACGUCAAAUCAUCAUGCCCCUUAUGACCUGGGCUACACACGUGCUACAAUGGACGGUACAAACGGUUGCCAACCCGGCGAGGGGGAGCUAAUCCGAUAAAACCGUUCUCAGUUCGGAUUGUAGGCUGCAACUCGCCUACA
rnacentral:rRNA from 1 species